rnacentral:rRNA from 1 species
UGUAAGCGUAUACCAAAGUUGUUGCAGUUAAAACGCUCGCAGUCGGAAUUUGGCAGUUCCGGAUGUGUGCACGUCGUGUGCGCACUUCGCGGGGAUUGCUUUUGUGGUCUUGCGUAGGAUGAGGCACUUUUAUUAGUGAACGUCCUCACGCAACCACUUUUUACUGUGAGAAAAUCAGAGUGCUCAAAGCAGGCAUUUGCCGUGAAUGUAUUAGCAUGGAAUAAUAGAAUAGGACUUGGUUCUAUUUUGUUGGUUUGUUGGGACUGAGUAAUGAUUAAGAGGGACAGUUGGGGGCAUUUGUAUUUCGGUGCUAGAGGUGAAAUUCUUAGAUUACCGAAAGACAAACUGCUGCGAAAGCGUCUGCCAAGGAUGUUUUCAUUGA